ensembl:lncRNA
AUGGUUUGUUAUGAAUCCGAUUACAAAUUAAUUCAUAACUUCCUGACCAAAAUGUCGUUUUCACCCCUGUACAUCUUAGUCGUCGUCAUGGUGAAGCUGGUCAUGACAGAAGCCAAACUGGCCUGUCGCCAGGACAGUGGCACGUUCUCCCUUCUUGUGACGGGGACUCAAAACUGUGAAGACAGCAGCUGGAAGGCUGGUGAUGGCACUGUGCUGGCAUAUGACGAAACUUACAACAAAACUGUGGUGCUGGGGACGGACCAGAGUCCAGGACACUACAGAAUCACCUUCAGGACCUGCCUUCCGGAUGUCACAUUUACCUGCAACAAGGUCAGUAAUUUAACGAUGGUACAUAUUAGGGCACAUACAGUAGUGUGCAUAAGUCUGAGACUACUGGUCAUUUAUUUCAUUUCCAGUCAAAUUGGCCGCUACAAGGUUGGGUCACAGAUCAGUGCUGUGUGAUACUCAAUAAAUCGGUAUCGAUCCGAUACCGAUAUACAGGGUCGGUAUUGUCGAUAGCAGUACUGAUACUGAUUCUUUUUACACUACUGAUCCUAUGUACCUUUAUACAUAAGGGGGCAGUCGUGGGCUGGAGGUUAGGGAACUGGCCCUGGGACCGGAAGGUUGCUAGUUCGAUCCCCAGUGCUGACGGUCCAUGACUGAGGUAUCCUUGAGCAAGACGCCUAACACCUAACCCCCAACUGCUCCGGAGGUGGAGCGGAGGUGGAAUUUCCCCGUUUGUGGGAUUCAAAAAGUAUCACUUAACUUAUGUAGGGCAGAGCAGUGUGUCAUAAGUUAUGAGGUGAACCUGUCAUUAAUAUGCUAAAUCUAUGCGCAUGUUAAAAACCAGGACAGCAAAGUUUUUAGGCAAAUCAAAAAUUCCUCCCUUUUUUUAGGCUUUUUGUUAAAUAAAUUGAGUGCACAGUUAUUACUGGACAUCAAAUGUUUUAAAACUCAUUCUUUUUCCAGAUAAAUUAUAUUCCAGGGUGAGCAGAAUGUGCCGUCAGAAUAUGCAUGCAGUUAUAAUGCCGUAAUGCUUCAUGCGUGUUAUUAAAAAGCUUUUCUUCCCGUCACAGGAGGCAGUCAGCUGUGAAUGUGAGUGAUGUCAUUUUUUUUAUCACGUCAUGUCAUAAAUUCUCUAAUUGUCUUUUAUUCUUCAGAUUAAAAAAAAAAUCAUUUUUAUUUACGACCCCUAAACAUAAACAGAACUUGUUUUUCCACCUUGCAGAUACCUGCCCUGGACGAUUUGAUCCAAACCACGGUCCAGGUGAGUGAUUUGCAUGUGCUUUGUUUAGUCAUCUGAGGUUAGCAGAAGUAAAAGUCUGUUAUUCUGGGUGUUUAUUUGCUCAGAAAAAUCUUGUAAUAAAUACAAAUACAUUACAGCAACCACGGGCGUCGGACCUGCCGAACCAGAGCCCCCCAUGAAUGGUAGGGUAGUCCGAAAGCCUCGGAAUUGAUAUUUGUUUCCAAUUGUGAUACUAACAUAUAAAUAAUAUACAUUUUCGAUGACCAUCUUUCGAGUUCUGCUGAUCUGCCUGUUGUUUCUGUUAUUACUGCUUUCAACAUCUGUGCCUUUCAUUCUAUAGAGCUCUCUAGGGAACGUGUUGGUAUCAUAGGCAGUGCUCUGGUUGUCCUCCUCCUCAUCAUCAUAAUCAUCAUCAGUGCACUGAGGGCUAAGCAUACAGAGUAAGAGUCGCACAGUCACUAAUACGUUUCAUUCGUUUUAUGAAUGUCCAGUCUUGUCCAGCUGAAUCCAUUUCCAUCAUUAACACAUUCGCUGUGUGUUUAGUCGUUUUCAGGCUGAGGUGUAGUUACAGCAGCAAACCCAGACAACACUUGUGAAUGCAGUCUGGACUGUGACCUUAUUCUACGGACCGAAAGGUGGUCCAUUGAGGAUUCAUUCAUCCUGACGUCCCUCGUCCACUCCCUUUGCUGUGACCUUCAUUAGGAUUGUUUGAGAAGGAUGGAAUGAUCUAGAACCUCCACGCAUUUGACUGCCUGAUGCAUCAAAUUGACAUCCACUGCACACAUGAUGGUCCACGUUUGUCCACCGUAUAGACGAAAAGAUGGUCUUGUGGAUAUCGAAGAAUGUGCUGGCCGGUUGUGGGCGAUGUAGACAGAACCGAGCAGUUAGCACUGCCGUUCAGGUUCUGCCAUUUGCUGGGGGGCAGGCCAAAUCGCUAAGGUUAUCUUGCUGUACGUUGGAUGGAGGCCUGCAGUUGGAUCAUUGAAUAUCUGGGACUUCUUAAAGUUGCUAGAUGUGAACAGAAGAAAUAUUUCCAGGUCACACUUUAUAUUUAAGCAAAUUUGUGAACUUGAAGCUCGUGCGACUCUCGGACGACUCUCGGGUGGAUCUGAUGGACUCAACACAAACGUGUGGAUGCCAGUUCAUGUUCGCUAAAGCCAAAACCAAAUACUAGGAAAUUCUGAAAUCAGUGCAGAUCUUUGAAAGAUUCACUCAGAUUGAUAUUCUGAUCAUGUAACUAAACUGACAAACCCUGUAAUAAACGACUAAAGAAUGCAUAAUAGAAGCAUUUUCAUGUGUGGCCUCAGGUUUCUGGACCCCACUGUAUGUACAUAUCAGACAAAUUGCAAUAAGCAAAGGCACGUUAUGGAACGUUUCUAUUGGCCUGUCUGUCAUGAAAUGAAAUAUUGGGUGGUUUUGACACGACGGUUCGGUUGUAUAUGAAGUGUGAGCACUGUAUUAUGCGCAGGUGGAAGACGCUGGUAAAUAAACAAUAUUUUUCUCCUCGUCUGUGUUUUCUUUUACUUUGCAGUCCAUUUUCUACACCAGCCCUAAUAUGUCAACUGUCUUCAAACCAGACUUGUUCAGUGCACCCGGGAGUCAUCUCACUGUAACGGGAAGGAAGAAUGUUGCAUGGUCAGCAGCACAAAUGCAUACAGGCUGUCAUAGUCAGACCUGCCGGAGUCGUUGGCCACACUCUGUAAAUGUUUACAUCCCCUGUUUUAUGUACAGACAGAAUAAAACUGAUUCCCUCUGCCUGCCUUCUUUCUGAGUAUACAAUCGCCCACAUGUCCGGCCGGACACUGAAGGACGACUGAGGGUCGAGCCCUCCUGCCACCCACUUCAGACCAGCUGCCCAUGUCCCAGCUACCACCACCUGCCCUGGACAAGCUGCCCACCCUGCACUGAUGUUCUCAUAGACCAUCAGCUAUUCCUACUACUAAUACCAAUGCUUUUAAUGUUAGUAGUGUAAUCACUUGUAGGUAGGACAAGAUGUCCAGCAGAUGGCGAUAUCUCUACUCUCUCUCUCUCUGCUCUCUCUCUCUCUCUCGCCCGCUCACACACACAUAGCAGCACACACGUGCCUGCACUUUCGCCAUUUCGCAUCAUUUAACACCCAUGUUAUGGACACGCGUUGAGGAGCUGGAGGCCGGAUCGCGGAGCUUCUCCUCUGACUCGGACUCGGUUCUACGCUGCUGGACUCGCGAUGCUGUUCUGUGAGUAGCUCGUGUUCUUCUCUCCUUCAUUCGAGCGAGCUUUGCUGAGCUGGCGUCCUGUGGAGGCUGCAGGUCGCCUGGCGCUGCUGUGCGGUGAGAUGAGGGGCGGUUUAGCUGGUUGGCACUGCUGGAAGACUCAUCUUCCAUGAUGCGCGCCGUGUAACUUCACGUGUGAAAUGCAGCAGAUACGGUUCAUGCUCGACUUCUGCAGCUCGUCUCGUCAAUCAAAGCGCGGCGUUAGACGUGUCAACGGGGAGCUGCGAGCUUUGGCGGCUACUUUCUCACGGCAUCGAGGGGGUUUCUGAGAGCGGAGAACCCCGUGGCAGACGCGCGGGGUCAUUACAGGUCGGACGAGCCGGCCAAUAGGAGAGCAGUGGGCUGAUGAGCCAAGGAGUCGGAUCUUUGAGUCGACUCUUUGAAGUGAAGUUUUACUUGUUAGUCCCACAAACGGGGAAACGUGAGUCAAAGCACCACAUACACACUAGUGAAUAGACACACACACUAGGGGGCAGUGAGACACACACACUUGCCCGGAGCGGUGGGCAGCCCUAUCCACCGCGCCCGGGGAGCAGUUGGGGGUUAGGCGUCUUGCUCAAGGACACCUCAGUCAUGGACUGUCGGCUCUGGGGAUCGAACCGAGAUUUAUUCCUAUUUUUCUGCGUAGUAUAUUGUAUAGUAUAUCGCUGUGGUCGGAUCAAAACCUCGUAUCACCAAAAUUGUAGCAGGAGAAGUCAAUGGAACCAGACUUUUUUCCACGUAAUGUUAGGCCAUUUUUCUUUGGUGCCAUCAUGAUGGAAUUUACACACUAUAUAUCGGACUAAGGGUAUUUUUCGAUUUAUGCCAAAAACUGAAAAAUGACAAAACUGGAGAUACGAGGUUUUGUUUUCCGACAGCAGUGAUAUCUCGGUGUAUGUGCAGUUAUAUGUCCCUCCGGGAUAAAUAAAGAUGGAUUGAUCUAUCCAGCUAUCUGUCUAGCUGUCGAUCUAACUAACCUGUCCAACAUAACUUUAAGGCAGAAUGAGAGACGGUCAUGGUGACCUUCCUUUCCCCAUCUGUGCUACUACACUGUGCUAGGACUGGUGGGUGCUGCCCCUCCAGCUUUAGGUCCAUAGGGCAUUUAUUUCUUAAAACCGUAGAUGUGCAUCAUGGAUCCGUUUGGUCAAUAGCAGUAGUCUGUGCUACUUUAGCUUCAGUAGUGUGUUCCUGCUCGUAUCCCAGCUGGGACAACACAUGCAUGUUCAUGAUAUUCAUGUGUCCAUCUCUUUUAGAACUACCUCCAGUCAAAUCAUAUCCAAGUCGUAUCUCCAAAAUGAGCACUUUACAGCAGAAGGAAAAAACCUACUUUACUUUUAAUGGAAGUCAAUGGAACCAGACGUUUUUCCGAGUCAUUUUGGGUCGUUUCUUUUGGUCCAUUCAUCAUGAAAUUUACUCUCAAUGUACAGGAGCAUGAGAAUUAUUAGAUUAUGUCAAAAACUGAAAAUCUCCAAAAAAUCGAGGUUUUCUUCCGACAACAGCGAUGUGUAAAUAUUCCGAUAUUCC